UACGUAGGCAGCAAGCGUUGUUCGGAGUUACUGGGCGUAAAGGGUGCGUAGGCGGCUCUAUAAGUAUGGUGUGAAAUCUCCCGGCUUAACUGGGAGGGUGCGCUAUAGACUGUGGGGCUAGAGUGUGGGAGAGGAAAGUGGAAUUCCCGUGGUAGCGGUGAAAUGCGUAGAUAUCGGAGGAACGACCUGCGCGAAGCGGACGCACUGGACCACAACUGACGCUGAGGCGCGAAAGCUAGGGGAGCAAACAGG
rnacentral:rRNA from 1 species